rnacentral:rRNA from 1 species
AACGAACGCUGGCGGCGUGCUUAACACAUGCACGUCGAACGGAGUGGCGACCGGGGGAGUGACACGUUGGUGAUCUUCCUUGCACUUCGGGCUAAGCUUGGGCAACUGGGUCUCAUACCCGAUUGUGCAAUAUGAGCUCGCGGCCUAUCAGCUUGUUGGUGGGGUAAUGGCAUACAAAGGCGUCGACGGGUCGCCGGCCUGAGAGGGUGUCCGGCCCCAGUGGGACUGAGAUACGGCCCAGACUCCUACGGGAGGCAGCAGGGGGGAAUAUUGGACAAUGGGCGGAAGCCUUAUGAAGCGACGCCGCGGGGGGGAUGAAGGCUUUCGGGUUGUAAACUCCUUUCGACAGGGACGCGGUACCUGUAUAAGAAGCACGGGCUAACUACGUGCCAGCAGCCGCGGUAAUAC